rnacentral:rRNA from 1 species
UACAGAGGAUGCAAGCGUUAUCCGGAAUGAUUGGGCGUAAAGCGUCUGUAGGUGGCUUUUUAAGUCCGCCGUCAAAUCCCAGGGCUCAACUCUGGACAGGCGGUGGAAACUACCAAGCUUGAGUACGGUGAGGGCAGAGGGAAUUUCCGGUGGAGCGGUGAAAUGCGUAGAGAUCGGAAAGAACACCAACGGCGAAAGCAGCUCUGCUGGGCCGACACUGACACUGAGAGACGAAAGCUAGGGGAGCGAAUGGG